rnacentral:rRNA from 1 species
UACGGAGGAUGCGAGCGUUAUCCGGAUUUAUUGGGUUUAAAGGGUGCGUAGGCGGGAGAUCAAGUCAGCGGUAAAAUUGUGAGGCUCAACCUCAUCAGGCCGUUGAAACUGGUUUUCUUGAGUGAGCGAGAGGUAUGCGGAAUGCGUGGUGUAGCGGUGAAAUGCAUAGAUAUCACGCAGAACCCCGAUUGCGAAGGCAGCAUACCGGUGCUCAACUGACGCUGAGGCACGAAAGCGUGGGGAUCAAACAGG